rnacentral:lncRNA from 10 species
AGUGACCACUCCCUGAUAUGCUGCAGAUGCAAUUGAGUAGCAGCUUCAUUCCACAUUUCUCCAACAUCUUUCAUGGUGAGGUCAAGAGCAUAUUCAAAACCAUGUGUGGCUCAGUCCAACUGGAGAGACCAAGUCAAAGAGCCUCAUUUCCAUAAGGCACAGAGUUAAGAAGUGGCAAGUUAACACAGCCAGAGCAUGCACAGAAGAAAACUUCGACCUCAAAUAACACCUAGAACCAAAGUCCCUACCGCAGAACUAAAAGAUUGGGAUGUGGCUGGAACUCAAGCACCUAAACACUUUCAAAAGGCUUUGCCUUCCAGUGUCUACUUGGCCUUCCAGUGUCAGACAGCUUCUUGCACCUGACCCACUCAGCUGAGGACACAGAUGUCAAAAAAAAAAUCAUAAAUACAGAAUUCCAGAAAAUUUUACCAA